UAGGGAAUCUUCCGCAAUGGACGCAAGUCUGACGGAGCAACGCCGCGUGAGUGAAGAAGGAUUUCGGUUCGUAAAACUCUGUUGUUAGAGAAGAACAGCGCAUAGAGUAACUGUUAUGCGUGUGACGGUAUCUAACCAGAAAGCCACGGCUAACUACGUGCCAGCAGCCGCGGUAAUACGUAGGUGGCAAGCGUUGUCCGGAUUUAUUGGGCGUAAAGCGAGCGCAGGCGGUCAAUUAAGUCUGAUGUGAAAGCCCCCGGCUCAACCGGGGAGGGUCAUUGGAAACUGGUUAACUUGAGUGCAGAAGGGGAGAGUGGAUUUCCAUGUGUAGCGGUGAAAUGCGUAAAUAUAUGGAGAAACACCAGUGGCGAAGGCGACUCUCUGGUCUGUAACUAACGCUGAGGCUCGAAAGCGUGGGUAGCAAACAGG
rnacentral:rRNA from 1 species